AGUGAACGCUGGCGGUAGGCCUAACACAUGCAAGUCGAACGGCAGCACAGUAAGAGCUUGCUCUUACGGGUGGCGAGUGGCGGACGGGUGAGGAAUACAUCGGAAUCUACUUUUUCGUGGGGGAUAACGUAGGGAAACUUACGCUAAUACCGCAUACGAUCUACGGGUGAAAGCAGGGGAUCUUCUGACCUUGCGCGAUUGAAUGAGCCGAUGUCGGAUUAGCUAGUUGGCGGGGUAAUGGCCCACCAAGGCGCCGAUCCGUAGCUGGUCUGAGAGGAUGAUCGGCCACACUGGAACUGAGACACGGUCCAGACUCCUACGGGAGGCAGCAGUGGGGAAUAUUGGACAAUGGGCGCAAGCCUGAUCCAGCCAUACCGCGUGGGUGAAGAAGGCCUUCGGGUUGUAAAGCCCUUUUGUUGGGAAAGAAAAGCAGCAGGUUAAUACCCCGCUGUUCUGACGGUACCCAAAGAAUAAGCACCGGCUAACUUCGUG
rnacentral:rRNA from 1 species